GGCCCCAUAGUUCAAGGGAUAGAAUAGAAGUUUCCUAAACUUUUGAUCCGUGUUCGAGUCACGGUGGGGCUA
rnacentral:tRNA from 1 species